rnacentral:rRNA from 1 species
GCACAAGCGGUGGAUGAUGUGAUUAAUCGAUGCAACGCGAAAACCUUACUACCCUUGACAUGUCCGGAAUCCCGAAGAGAUUUGGGAGUGCUCGCAAGAGAACCGGAACACAGGUGCUGCAUGGCUGUCGUCAGCUCGUGUCGUGAGAUGUUGGGUUAAGUCCCGCAACGAGCGCAACCCUUGUCAUUAGUUGCCAUCAUUUGGUUGGGCACUCUAAUGAGACUGCCGGUGACAAACCGGAGGAAGGUGGGGAUGACGUCAAGUCCUCAUGGCCCUUAUGGGUAGGGCUUCACACGUCAUACAAUGGUCGGUACAGAGGGUUGCCAACCCGCGAGGGGGAGCUAAUCCCACAAAGCCGAUCGUAGUCCGGAUCGCAGUCUGCAACUCGACUGCGUGAAGUCGGAAUCGCUAGUAAUCGUGGAUCAGCAUGUCACGGUGAAUACGUUCCCGGGUCUU